rnacentral:rRNA from 1 species
CUACGGAGGGUGCAAGCGUUGUUCGGAAUCACUGGGCGUAAAGGGCGCGCAGGCGGUUUGGUAAGUCAGAUGUGAAAGCCCACGGCUCAACCGUGGAAGUGCAUUUGAAACUGUCAGACUUGAGUACUAGAGGGGAAAGUGGAAUUCCCGGUGUAGAGGUGAAAUUCGUAGAUAUCGGGAGGAAUACCGGUGGCGAAGGCGACUUUCUGGCUAGAUACUGACGCUGAGGCGCGAAAGCGUGGGGAGCAAACAGGAUUAGAUACCCUAGUAGUCC